GGCAUUGUGGCUCAAGUGGUAGAGCACUUAACUUAAGCUGAAGAGCUCAGGGACAGUGCCA
rnacentral:tRNA from 1 species